AGAACAGUCAGUUCUACUGCAAACUUCAGGCGGCAGGAUUAAAGCACAAAGAGAUUUGUACCAGGAACUAAGAAUAACAGCAAAAAAGAUAUUCCGCAGAGUUGCUCGGGAAACUGUACGGGAUUUAAUAAUUCUCGCUACUAAACAGGCUACCGCAAGCCCAGACAAAGGACAGUCAGCUAUUCCCCCAUUCAUAUUUGCAAAUUAUGACACACAGAAAUUGAAAAUACAAAAGAUUUUUAUUUCA